UGUCAGAAGCAAAAAAAAGGCCGUUAAUGCGGAAAAGUUUGACAAGGUCCCCAGAACUCAAACGCAAGAAAAGUGAUUUGGUAGAUAAAAACUUUGUUGAAAUCAAGGCUGCUGGUGUACCGCCGGAUAUGGAUCAUCACAUUACUAAUCAUGAUGCAGUCCAGGCAGCAGAGGCAUUAUUAAUGUUGCAGAAUUCUGAAAAUGAACGAGUAAACAUUGUUUCUGAUGGGCAGAAAGGACCAAAUAUCCAGGAUCAACAUUCGAUGUUAAAGAAUUCAUGUGAUGAAGAAACACAGACAUCAUCUUGUUGCUUAACCUUGAAUGAAUCUUUAGCACUGAAAUUUUUCAAUUAAAAAACAAGAUUUCUGAACUUGAAAAAAAAUGUAUACAGUCAAAAGCGUUGUCCAUUGAUGACGUGAAAACCGAUGACAAGAAAAUGACAUUUUACACGGGGCUAACUUAUGGGCAGUUUAUGUGCUUGUGGAAAUUUCUGGGACCAGCCACUAGAAAUCUUUCUCGAAUAAAUUAUUCCAGGAAACUUGAGCUUACACCAUCUAAGUCAAGGGGACCGAAGAGAAAAUUGUCACCAGAAGAUGAACUUUUCCUUACACUGGUUAGACUUCGUCUCGGAUUAUUGCACACCGACCUAGCCUAUCGUUUUAGUGUUUCAGUUAGUACUGUCAAUAACAUCAACAUGGAUACAGUUCUUAUAUUUACAGUUUAAUAGACUACGUAGUGCUAUGUUUCCAUCUAGAAGAAUAAUUACCAAGCAUUUACCAAAGUCUUUUAGAAAGUAUAGAAAUGUACGUGUAAUAUUAGAUGCUACUGAGUUUUUUACACAAGUGCCUAGAAAUUAUGAGCAGCAGGGCAAUCUUUACUCUUCUUAUAAAAAUCAUUGUACUUGCAAAGUUCUGAUAGGAAUAACACCUUCAGGUGCAAUAUCAUUUGUAUCUGAUGUGUAUGAAGGGGCAAUUUCUGAUAAAGAAAUUUUUAAAAAGAGCAAAAUUAUGGAUAAAAUCAAUCCAGGUGAUCUGGUAAUGGUAGAUCGGGGAUUUAAUGUUCGAGACAUUUUGUUGCAGAAAGGUGCAGGUAUUGUAAUCCCACCAUUUUUGGGCAAUAGAACCAAUUUGUCACAAGAAGAAGAAGCGCAGACUCGUGUUAUCGCAAAAUUACGAAUUCAUGUUGAGAGGGUAAUAGAGCGCAUAAAAAAAUAUAAAAUUUGUAAGAAAAUUGUACCCUUGAACACACUGUCAACUUUCUCCCAAACAAUCUUUAUUGUUGCAUGUUUGGUAAACUUUCAGAAACCAAUAGUGAAAUAAAUGUGAUGAAAAUUUUUCUGAUUUCAAUGUAGAUUUUGAAACUGAGUAAAUUUAUUAGUAGAAAUUAAUAAAUUUAAUUUUUACUUUUUUCAGUGGUAAUUUCAGAAUUUUCUUGUUCUUGAGGGUUUCGUCUUACCUGAAAGAUUACCUGUAUGUACUUGUUAACUUACCUGUGAAUUUGCAAAAUAAAAACAGUAUGCAAGAAUAUGAAUGAAAA